UACGAAACACAAAUGUAAUCUCGUGGUGGUCAUAGCACAUAAUGUGCGAACAGAAACAUCCACACAAGUUGAAGUAGUGCCACGAAACUGUUUAUAGAUAACUUUUAAGUUCGAUUUAUAAUGACGAAAGACCGACUUGCAGCGUUGAAAGCGACUCAAGGGGAUGAUGAUGUUUCUGUCUCAGUUGAUGACACUAGGGGUGGAGGUUACAUGGAUGAAUUUUUUCAAGAGGUUGAAGAAAUCCGUGAAAGCAUUGAGAAAAUCCAGGCUAAUGUUGAAGAGGUCAAGAAAAAACACAGUGCCAUUCUCUCUGCUCCACAGACAGAUGGAAGGGUCAAGCAAGAAUUGGAAGAUUUAAUGGCAGACAUAAAAAAGGCUGCCAACAAAGUUCGCACUAAAUUAAAAGUGAUGGAACAAAACAUUGAUCAGCAAGAACAAACUAGCAUGAUGUCAGCAGAUUUUAGGAUAUGCAAAACACAGCAUUCUAUGCUAUCCCAAAAGUUUGUGGAGGUGAUGACAGACUACAAUAAGACACAAACAGACUACAGAGAGAGAUGCAAGGCACGAAUUCAACGGCAGUUAGAAAUUACGGGUAAAGUGACAACUAAUGAAGAACUAGAAGAUAUGCUGGAAAGUGGGAAUCCUACAAUAUUUACACAGGGAAUCAUCAUGGAGACACAGCAAGCUAAACAAACAUUAGCUGACAUUGAGGCUCGUCACAACGAUAUCAUUAAACUAGAAAACAGUAUCCGAGAAUUACAUGAUAUGUUUAUGGAUAUGGCUAUGUUAGUUGAAAGUCAGGGUGAAUUGAUUGAUAGAAUUGAAUAUCAAGUAGAACAUGCAAAAGAUUAUAUUGAAGCUGCCAAACAAGACACAAAAAAGGCUCUUGUAUACCAGAGCAAAGCAAGAAGGGUCGUCAGUAGGUCAUCCACAAAUUGGAAAUAAAGGCCAUUACUUUUUCAAGGAACGCCAUAAUUGGAGGAACCGAAGAAAAGCGCAGCUGAGUGCAGAAAAUUUUCUGCAAGGUUUAAAACAUUUGAAUCAAUUGGUGACUUGAACCUAGAGCUAAUUUCUAAAGAUGAUCAAAGACAGACUUGGAGCUUUGAAGUCAACUCAAAGUGAAGAGGAUGAAAGUAAUAACUUGGUUGCUAUGGAAAUGGAGCCUCAUCAGGGUGCACUGGGAGAAUUUUUCAAAGAGAUAUGACACUCGUAUUCAGUGACCGCGAUGUGUACAUCAAUGAUCACUUUGAACUUGUUCGGGACAUCGAUAAUCCUAACACGGCUGAAGCAUUGUUCCUACUAGAACUAGAGAUAACCGAUCGAUUCUGCAGCACACAGCUCCAGAGUUCUACAACAAAGCACUUUUCUGUGAUUUUUGAACGUAAGCAACUUCCAUGACCUUUGAACCGAAGCAUAUUCUUAUUUUCCCUUAACCUUUGAAUUUGGACACCCACCAUGGCCAUUGAACAUAAACACACUUCCAUAUCCUUUGGAUCUAUAAACACCUUCCCUAACCUUUGUAUCUGAACAUUCUUUUCCGUGACCUUUGAAUUUAUUUCACGACUUUUGAACUUCAUUUUCAUGUUUUAAUUGGUUUCUUUUCAGUAUUUUUAGAUUUAUUGUGAUCGUUAUAAACUAAAUAGAUUCGCAGGAAUGAUGUUGAAAAUUAUAAUGUGUAUCAUUUCUUUCUCUGUACGCAAAUGUAUAAAUAGAUAAUUGAACAAAAUAAGAAACUCAAGAUAUUCGAAGAGAAGUUUAUAGUAGUAAGAUGUAACCAUGAUACGAAUAAAAUAUAG
rnacentral:misc_RNA from 1 species